rnacentral:tRNA from 1 species
GGUGAGGUAGUGUAGUAAGAACGUUAGGCUUAUAGCCUGAAAGUGGGGAUUAUUCCCCCCUCGCUG